UACAGAGGGGGCAAGCGUUGUUCGGAAUUACUGGGCGUAAAGGGCGCGUAGGCGGCCUUCUAAGUCGAACGUGAAAUCCCCGGGCUCAACCCGGGAACUGCGUCCGAUACUGGAAGGCUUGAAUCCGGGAGAGGGAUGCGGAAUUCCAGGUGUAGCGGUGAAAUGCGUAGAUAUCUGGAGGAACACCGGCGGCGAAGGCGGCAUCCUGGACCGGCAUUGACGCUGAGGCGCGAAAGCCAGGGGAGCAAACGGG
rnacentral:rRNA from 1 species